UAAUUAGUGAUUUGUCAUCUGUUGCCUAAACGGUUUCCUAUUUUUUAGGACUCACUUUGAACUCUCAGUUUUAUCCUCUUACCCUUAUGUUUCCGUGAUUAUUGAAUAAAAUUAUUGAUUAGAAGCGUGAAUUUUUUGACAAAGUAAUACAAUUCAGUGUCAACUGUCAUCAUCACCAGACUAAGAAUGGAAGCGUAAAAAAUAUAAAGCUGAUUGAAGCGAACCGUUAAUUUCAUCAUUCAACAGUGUAACAUUAAAAAAUGUCAACUCAUCGUCAGGCCUUGCUUUGCCUAUUUUCUCGUGGCUUUUCUCGGUCUCUUCUUGGCUCAUCACUCAUGUUCACCCAUCAAAACCUGUGAAACUGUGAUUACAUUGAGACAAUCAGCAAACAAUUUGCUGCUGUAUACUCAUGUUGCUAGUUGAUGUGUUGGUAAAUUACCGAUGGGCCAUUUCAUUCUUGGAUUUAGACCAGUUCAAACAAACACUCUUGCACACAUAGACACUCACAAACACAGAGAAUCUUACAAUUUUAUUAAACUGACAAGGUGAAGGCAACCCAAAAAGAGGAACCAUUGAAUGUACAUUUUGUUUAAACUUGACUGGUGGUUAUUUCAUAUUACUUUUGGCCAUUUCAUUGAAAAGAUAAGCAACCGGACACCUUAUAUUUUUGGCCACUUUUCUUAAGACUUUUUCCCCUUUCUUUUUACUUCUUUUCUUCUCUUCAAUUUUCCUUUUCCUUUUCACCUUCACCUUUUCUUUUUCUUCUCUUUUCUUCCAGUUCAACCAAAUUGUCUCGUUGAAAAUGUCAAAGGAGCAUCUUUAAUAUCAAACAAGCAUGUUUAUUUUCAUAUUUGUCAUUUUCAUCGAAACCCACUACUUGUAUGAUUUGAAUUCAGUUUGGUGAUAAUGAUUUUGAACACGCAAAAUUUGGUCUUUCCUUGGAUAUUUAUUUUUAUUGACAAUCAUCUUCACCAUCAUUCCUUCAUCUUCUCAAAAAUGACCCUCAAGAUUUAACUUUUAUCAACUCGAAAUUGAAGCAUUUUCCAAUUUCUAGUUCACAAAAGAAGCUGAUGAUGACCAAGGCAACCAUUUUCUCAUGAUUGAUUCAGGCUCUCCAUUUGCUAUUAAAAUGAUUUCAAGAAAUGAUUUGUGUUAAUGUUUAUGAUGAAAAAAAACCCAAAAUCUGGUCUCAAUUUUAUUUAUUUAUUUAUUUGUAUUUUUUAUUUUGGCCUCUUCUGGUCUUUACUUGAUUCGUUUAUCAUCAAGUAGGCUUAACAUUUACCCUGCAUAAUAUUAUUACAAUUGCAUCAAUAAUUUAUCUGAAUUUUAUUUACAUUAACUGUUAUUGUCAAUCAAUAUCAACCUUUAUUUACAAAUCUUCAACUUUGAAUAUUGUUACACAUCACAGUUUACUAUUGAUCCAAUUCAUUUUGGAAAUGUUUAAACAAAUAAACGUCUAUUGAUUUAAAAUUAAUGAUAUUUUUAGAUUUUUAUGUAAAUUUUUUGUCUCAUUAAAACACUUGAAAAUAAUCUAGCAAACAAAAUAGACUCGAAUCUAUUUUCACCGCAAUAAUUAAUUUACUUGCUCCAUCUAUCGUUUCAAUGUCAUUAACAUUGUGUAAACAAAGAGGUUAAUAGACCGACAUUUUAAGUACAUCAAGUAAUUGAUCUUUAUUUAAAAUUAACCUUUUAUUAGUUAGUCUAUCAUGACAUUGAUUUUUUUAUUGCUUCGAUUUGCUGUUAAUGGUAAAACUAGGUGACAAGUUGAUCCACAUCCAUGUAAUUUGAAAAGUCUUGGAACCGACAAAAGGUAACAAGACUACUAACGACUCAUGAGUAUUUAGAAGUAAAUUUGCGGUUAAACUUGGAUUCGAGUUGGUUUGGUAAAAGUGUUUCUCAAAGUGGGAUGAAAGUCACUGAAUAGCACUCGACACCAAAUUAGGAAUAGAUAGCUUCAAAAGUUGAUUGACGACUGGUUUAGGCUAAAUGUAUGGAACUACCUUUUUGAUUUGUCUAACCAACUCUCAGGUGAAUCUUGAAGUAAAUUAUCUUGUAAUUUACUAUCAUUUUCCAUUCUUUUUUAGGAUUUUUCAUUCUUCUAGAUUUUAAUCUCGUAGUUCGCUGAUUUCGUUGGCAUCUUUCUGCAACAUUUAAUGUUGAGAUAUAAUUAGCGUUGUCUCUUUUUGUUGGAAACUUUCUCAAGCCUAACCACCUCCUGUACAACCGUUGGUCAAUUGUAUUCACUAAAGAGGCUCUCUUCAACUAGACCUAAGAGAUUUUUGGAUUAUAAAUCAAAGGCUUGGAUCACCAGACAUCCUUUAAAGCAAAAAAUACCGUUCAAAGGCAGAAACAGAUUUAUCGAGUUCUUGUAACAACUUUAAUCUUCAAGCCCGACAUGACAGCUUAAUCUUAAUCUUUGAAUCAAUGGACACACAAUGGAUUGAUAGAGAUUAGAGAAAUCAAUAGACUUUUUGGUAAAGAAAUUCUCAGCUAAUUAUGGUUGAUAGUAUCACUUAAAGGAUCAAAUGGGAAAUGUAAUCCAUUAUUAUAAAAGAGUUGGAGGAGCAGAUUGAUUAUUACAAAACUUGAUGGUUGUCAACAGUAAAUAUACAGUCAUACCUGAAAGAUAAUGGCAUUAAAUAUCUGAAUACCUGGACAUUGAAAAGUUGACCAGUUCACAAGGAAAGGAGUGAGAAUAAAUAAAGCCAAUCAUCUUGAAGUUGUAUUUUAUUCAAAAGGGAACAAAUCACUUAUUUAUUGCCUGAUAUACCUUUUACUGAACAAUAAAAAGGUUCAAUCCAAGACCAGCUUCAAUUGGCAUUACAGUUUUACUUUCAAUUUAAUUGUAAAUGUCUUUACUUCUAAUUUAAUAUUAAUCUUGGUGAUUCAUGAUGAUGAUGCACAAGGAGAAGGAUAAAGGACAAAGAUUGGCGAAAGACGAGAAAAUGAUGAUGAUGAAGAAGAAGAAGAAGAAAAGUAAAAAUACAAACCAAUUGCUUUUUUCUGGCCAAUAAAAUGUCCAAAUAUCAAAAACUAAUCGAUUGUAAAGGAAAAAGGAAAAAGACUGAAGAAGAAGCCAAAAGAUGUAUUAUAUCUUGUCUGUUGUCCAAGUUUUUUUUAUGACCAUCAUAUCAUCUUUAUCCUUAGUCAUUCAAUUUCUCCUCCUACUGCUCAUCAACAUUAUCAUCUUGAUCAUCAUCAUCAUUAUUUCCCUGAAUUCCAACGGAAAUUUAAGCUUUUCCACAUUUUAUGCGUUUCCAGCCAAAAACAAAACCAAGCCAAAAGGAGAAAGAAGGAAACUCGAAAAGUAAAACAAAACCAAACCAUUUUUUUUACAACUUUGUUACCAUUUAACUAUUUUUAUUAUCAUCAUUAUCCAACUAAUUAUCUGAUUAGUUUUAUUUUUUUAUUCUCAUUUACCUUUUAGCUUUAAUUCAAUAUCCAAUUUAAAUGAAUAAUCUGUUGCCCAGCCAAUUCCACCAUCAAUCCAAUCAAUUUCACUUGAAGUAUAAAUGGAUUUCUCGUGUAUUUCCCUUGCAAACGAAUCUGCGGUCAAAUGAAUUUCAAAUUGCUGCCUUUUAUCUGACAAUUAAAUGUUUAUUGUUUCAAA